rnacentral:rRNA from 1 species
AUUGAACGCUGGCGGCAGGCCUAACACAUGCAAGUCGAGCGGAUGAAGGGAGCUUGCUCCUGGAUUCAGCGGCGGACGGGUGAGUAAUGCCUAGGAAUCUGCCUUGUAGUGGGGGAUAACGUCCGUAAACGGGCGCUACUACCGCAUCCGUCCUGAGGGAGAAAGUGGGGGAUCUUCGGACCUCACGCUAUCAGAUGAGCCUAGGUCGGAUUAGCUAGUUGGUGGGGUAAAGGCCUACCAAGGCGACGAUCCGUAACUGGUCUGAGAGGAUGAUCAGUCACACUGGAACUGAGACACGGUCCAGACUCCUACGGGAGGCAGCAGUGGGGAAGAUUGGACAAUGGGCGAAAGCCUGAUCCAGACAUGCCGCGUGUGUGAAGAAGGUCUUCGGAUUGUAAAGCACUUUAAGUUGGGAGGAAGAGCAGUAAGUUAAUACCUGGAUGUUUUGACGGUACCAAAAGAAUAAGCACCGGCUAACUUCGUG